CAGAUUCCAAAAUUAAGGGGAAAAAACCUUAAUCAACUCAUAAAUUGAAGAGAAGAAAUCGGAAAGUCUAAUCCAUUCCUUGCUCUACAACUUGUGAUUCCUCCCUUUUUUUAAUUUCUGCUCAACCCACUCCUCCGUGCUCUGUCAAGACUGUCACUAAAAAACUCAUAGUCUUUCUCUCUCCCCUGUUCACGAUCGAAGGCCCCUUGAAGUUUUAAUGGGUUCUUCGUUGACAAAGUUGUUGGCUAAUUUUUGAUUUGAUGCAUACAGGACACAAUUAAUGUACAGCUGGGAGAUGAAGAAGGAUCUGUUUGGACAACAAAAAUAAGGAAUUAUUGUCAAAGCUUCCGAGGAGCAAAUCAGGGCUAUGAACCAACAUCAAAAAGGAGGAGGAGUAUGGCCUUUUGGUGAAUCAAGAGGUAUGUCCUCACUUAGGAUCUAUUGUCUUGAAUGACGAAGGUUAUUUUGAGAUGACAUGUUCUCACUUAAGAUCUUCUUCGAAGAGGGAGGAGGAAAGCAACAGGCUAACAGUCAUAGUGGACAUUUGGACAAUGGCCAAAUUUCUCUUUAUUGACGACAAGCUCGAUCUUCGACUGUAGCAAAAUCAAGCCAUUAAAGUCACAACCAAGCUUGCAAAAUAUCGAAAUUAAAGGUCGUGAAUCUCCAAAAUCAACACACAAUAAAUUAAGGAGAAUGAGUUUAUAUUUUUUUUAAUUUUGUGUUUUACCCGUUCUCCUUAAUUCAAAUAUUCCUCCGGAAGGUUAUUAACUAUUCUUGUUUGGUCGAUAUUCAUACAUUAAAUUCAUCAAUUUCUUCUGGGUAUAUUGCUAAUUUUGUCUUAAAUUAAUUUGGGUAUUGUUUAUUUUUGGGUGGGGUUUGAUUGUUCGAUCUGUUUAUUUAAGUUUUGAUGAAAUAAUUGCAUUAUUAAUUAGUUAUAAACUUCAAUUGAGUAUUGGUUAUUUGGUGUUAUAUUUGUCUGUGAUUUGUUUAUUUGGAUUAUUGGACAUUUAUAAUUGGUUUCUGGUUGAAGAAUCUGAGGAGGGAUUAAUUAAUUUGGUGAGGAUUGAUAGGAAAUUUGUUUGAUUUGAAUGGUUUUUGAUUAUUUGAGUGGUUAACUCUUUUAUGCAUCUGUUGAUGUACAUGCUUAUUACUAAAGAGGAGGCUUGGCUUAUGAACAUAUCCCGCUUAUUUCUGCGUGUUCUCAGGCCACUGUUCUCUUUGCUUUUUGAGUAGAGGAAGAAGGAAGGAGAGACAGAAAAGAGGGAGAAGAGAG
rnacentral:lncRNA from 1 species